ensembl:lncRNA
CACCAUUGCAAAUCAGGUUUAUUGUGAAAAUUUACAGACUUUCUGCUGUUUGCAAUGAACAAAUCAAAACAGAAGUAACUGAAAUAGUUCGACAUAAUUAAUGCUUCAAGUGGUUUCCCCAAAUUCAACUGAAAAUGCAAUUUAUAAUAACUUUUCAAAAUUAUUCAACCCCUUCAUGACAAGCAUCUUUAGUACUUAGUAGAGCUCCUUUUGCUGUUGACCUGCUGCAAACAAGAUGCAUAGCCAGACACCAGUUUCUGGCAGUGUUCCUGAAGAAUCUUAUCACAUUCCUCAUGAGCAGUGGCCUCCAGUUCAGUAAUAUUCUUGGGUUUGCAUGCAGUAAACGCCUUCUUCAAAUUCCACCAGAGGUUUUCUAUGGGGUUCAAGUCAGGUGACUGUGAUGGCCCUGUAGAAUUUUCCAGGACUUCCUCUGCAACCAAGCCUUGGUGGAAUUUGAGAUAUGCUUGGGAUCAUUGUCCUGUUGGAAGGUCCAAUGAUACCCAAGCUUCAGGUUCCUCACAGACGGCAUGAUGUUUUCUCAUAGGAUUUCCUGAUACUUCAAUGAAUCCAUCUCGCCUUCCACACGCUGCAGGUUUCCAGUGCCAGUGGAUGCAAAACAGCCCCAGAGCAUCACCAAGCCACCGCCAUGCUUGACUGUGGACAGCGUUCUUUCUUCAUUCUUCCUCCAGACAUACCGCUGAUCCAUCCUGCCGAAAUGUUCCAGUUUUGUUUCGUUGCUCCACAGAACAGAAUCCCAAAACUUCUGUGCCUUAUUUAUAUGAUUUUGAGUCAGUAGUGGUGAACGUCUUGGAGUUCUGGCAUGGAAACCUUAUGUGUUUAAUACGCGCCUUACUAUGCUUAUUGAAACCUCAGUGCCUGUUGCCACCAAGUCUUGCUGCAGGUCUUUCACAGUCACUCGAGGGUUUUUCACAACCUGCCUUCUCAGAAAUCUGGUUGCAACCGUUUAUAGCUUCCUUUUUCUGCCCCGUCCAGGUAUUUCAUGAAUUUUCUGCCCCUAGUUCAGGCAUUUCAUGUGUUCCAGCUCAACCACACCUGGUGCAGCUAAUGAAGCCCUUGAUUAGUUUAGCAUCAGUGAUUGAGACAACACCUGUUUUACAUAUUUGUGCUGUUGUGAGGGAUUCUAUUCAGGGGGGUGAAUAAUUUUGAAACUGGAGAAGUUAUUAUAAGAUGCAUUUUCAAUUUGGGGAAACCCCUUGAAGCAUUCGUCGGGUUGAACUAUUUCAAUUGCUUUUGUUUGAUUUGUUCAUCGCAGCUGAAAGUCUGUACAUUUUUACAAUAAAUCUAAUUUGCAGUAGGGGUUGAAUGAUUUUGAUUGCAACUGUACACUCUUAAUUCCACUGUCUAGCAGAUUCAAUAGGAACCUAUAGGAUUGAGGAUUGUUCUUGCACAGAACAGUAAAACAGUUUGUGUUUUCAGUUAUGAAGAAAAUGAAUAAUUCAUUCAGGGGAAUAAUUUUAAUGGCAUAAGUAGAAUAGUACUUCAAAGGAAUUGAUAUUACACAGCAUAAUAAUAGCACACAAUAGAACAUGGCACAAUGAUUGUUGACAAACUGAUAAAGUGCAAAUAAAUGUAAAUAAAUAGUUAUUUAGAAAUAACAUAUCCCUCUAUUUGAAAUGAAAUGUAUAGUACUAUUUUUAAAGUAAUAAAGUAAUAAAUUAACAUAUAUUGUUUGAAAAUAAAUUAGAAGAAUAAAUUAAUUUAUUAAUGAAUAAUAUUUUGUGAUUGCAUAUAUUUACAGAUUUAAUCUUAACUAAAUUACCUCUGUGUAGUAUGGAAUAGUAUGUCUAAAAGCAUCUGCUUUUGUACAUCAAGACAGAUUACAACACUUUAAAUUAAUAACUCCAAUUGAGAAUGUAUGGUAUGUUGUGCUUUAGAAGAGACUGCUGUGAGUUUGAUACUGAACGUUGUAUGAUCGUCGCCUGAGCCAACGUCUUCUAAUUCCUGCACAGCAUCCACAAAGAAUACACUGUAGGAAAAAAAUUUAAUUAAGAAAGAGAUGUUAAUAAAACACAAUCACUUUGGAUGGCCGCUUCAGAUAUACUGUAUUAUAUGAAUUUACAAUUUGAAUCAUGCAUUAUAUACCUAACUGAUUAAAAUAAUAGAGUAUACUUACACAGAGUAGAAUCCAACAUGGGAGAAGAAUGAGGACUAUACCACAUGGGAUAACGAAGCCCAAAAUCCAUGCAGCCCCUGUAUCGGUGCUGUUUCCAGGUUUUGUGGUGGGCUGAAUGCUUGUAAUGGCAGGAAUUGUAUAGUACAACAGACCACUUGCUUUGAGUAUUUCAUGAACAAAGCCACUUGGUGUCUUUAUAUCCGUCUCGUUAUAGACAUAUACUUGUUCAGCCACAAUCACUAAUCCGGAAACAUUACACCUAAAAGGAAUAAUAAAAAAAAAACCUCAUUCAAAUUAACCAUGAUCUUAACAUUUUAAAUAUUGUUAAUAGAAUAAAGAAGGCCGAUGAAUACAUACGUGAAGUUUGCCCAUGGGAAGAUAAAUGUUUGGUUCUGUGGAUUAGUCAGGAUUGUAUUCAUCUGAAAUAUAAAAAAAAUAUUAAGUAAAUAAAUUAUAGAGGUGAUAACGUAAUUUUUUUAGAUUGAAUGUGAAAAAAAAUGAACUGAAAUUUAAAUUAAAAGUAAUUCUAUGUUUACAAUAAAUCUAACUCACCAGGUUGUUUAUUUGUUCUUGUAUUAAGCUAUAGUUGAAAUCACAUCGAACAGACAUAUUAACAUCGCUGAUCAUGAAUGCCAUGUCCAAACUGAAUGAGUUGUUGCCCGUUCCUAAAAGAGAGAUGGGAGUAGAUAGGAAGCAUGUGAUGAAAACAUAUUGAAAGAUCAUUACUUCCAAUACUGAAUUAGUCAUAUUUACUUAUAUUUUAAAAUAUUUUAAAGCGGGGCAUACCUAGACCAUGGACAACAUAUGUUUUCAGAGAUCAGAUAAGUCUAAUCAGGAAAAAGACUCACGAGUAUAAUUGAUGUUCUGUAUACGGAUAGGUGUACUCAGUUUUGUUGUAGUAUCACGCUGUCUUCUGAUCUUUGGAUCGAGCUUUUCAUUAGCAGCUCUGAGAACCACAGCCUCAGUAGGUAGAGUGAUCAAGUUAUUGAAUUUCAAUGUUAUGAAAAUGUAUACAGUUCCGUUCCUGAAACAGGAGAGAACAGAAGAUGUUACUGCGAAAAUACACAGAGAAUGACAUGUUGAUAAAGAGAACAGAGAAAUAAUCAUAUUUCAGUAAGGUUAAACAAAUUAAUCAUAGAAUAAUUUCAGAUUUGUAUAACAAUAUAAUACGUAUAUUUUACAUUGAUUGAUAGCAGGAUUCCAGCACGAUAAGAGUUUUAUGGUUUACCUUGCAUAAAGCACAGCUGGAUCAGAUUUAGAUAAAAAAAAUUAGUAUUGUUAAUGGAAAUGUAAAUCUUGCUUAAAUAUCCACUAAAGAAAUUACUCGUACAUUGUGGAUGGAGGUUCUGGAGAAGUCUGCACUGUAGCUGUAGUUGGAGUAAUCGUUGUAGAUGAUUCAACAACAAAAUAAUUUUUAGUUACGGAGUAAUUUAGAGGAAGAUAAACAAUUUCAGAAUCAUUAGAAAGAGAAAUU